AUCCAACUGACGAGUCUUAAAUAGGACGAAACGUGCGUCUUGGGU
rnacentral:hammerhead_ribozyme from 1 species